UACGAAGGGGGCUAGCGUUGCUCGGAAUCACUGGGCGUAAAGGGUGCGUAGGCGGGUCUUUUAAGUCAGGGGUGAAAUCCUGGAGCUCAACUCCAGAACUGCCUUUGAUACUGAGGAUCUUGAGUUCGGGAGAGGUGAGUGGAACUGCGAGUGUAGAGGUGAAAUUCGUAGAUAUUCGCAAGAACACCAGUGGCGAAGGCGGCUCACUGGCCCGAGUACUGA
rnacentral:rRNA from 1 species